AAAUUUGGAUUAAUACCUAAUAGUAUAUAGAUGUGGCAUCACAUUUAUAUUAAAGCUGAGGCGGUGAAAGAUGAGUAUGCGUUCUAUUAGCUAGUUGGAGAGGUAACAGCUCCCCAAGGCGACGAUAAUGGGUUUAAGGAAUCCCCCCCUGGUAACGGCCACUCCUACGGGAGGCAGCAGUGAGGAAUAUUAGACAUGGUCGGAAGACUGAUCCAGCCAUGCCGCGUGCAGGAAGACGGCCUUAUGGGUUGUAAACUGCUUUUGCAGGGGAAGAGUAAGGACUACGUGUAGUUUGAUGACGGUACUCUGCGAAUAAGCAUCGG
rnacentral:rRNA from 1 species